AACAGGAUUAGAUACCCUGGUAGUCCACGCCGUAAACGAUGUCGACUUGGAGGUUGUGCCCUUGAGGCGUGGCUUCCGGAACUAACGCGUUAAGUCGACCGCCUGGGGAGUACGGCCGCAAGGUUAAAACUCAAAUGAAUUGACGGGGGCCCGCACAAGCGGUGGAGCAUGUGGUUUAAUUCGAUGCAACGCGAAGAACCUUACCUGGCCUUGACAUCCAGAGAACUUAGCAGAGAUGCUUUGGUGCCUUCGGGAACUCUGAGACAGGUGCUGCAUGGCUGUCGUCAGCUCGUGUUGUGAAAUGUUGGGUUAAGUCCCGCAACGAGCGCAACCCUUAUCCUUUGUUGCCAGCGGCUCGGCCGGGAACUCAAAGGAGACUGCCGGUGAUAAACCGGAGGAAGGUGGGGAUGACGUCAAGUCAUCAUGGCCCUUACGGCCAGGGCUACACACGUGCUACAAUGGCGCAUACAAAGAGAAGCGACCUCGCGAGAGCAAGCGGACCUCAUAAAGUGCGUCGUAGUCCGGAUCGGAGUCUGCAACUCGACUCCGUGAAGUCGGAAUCGCUAGUAAUCGUAGAUCAGAAUGCUACGGUGAAUACGUUCCCGGGCCUUGUACACACCGCCCGUCACACCAUGGGAGUGGGUUGCAAAAGAAGUAGGUAGCUUAACCUUCGGGAGGGCGCUUACCACUUUGUGAUUCAUGACUGGGGUGAAGUCGUAACAAGGUAACC
rnacentral:rRNA from 1 species